rnacentral:rRNA from 1 species
CCUACGGGAGGCAGCAGUGGGGAAUAUUGCGCAAUGGGCGAAAGCCUGACGCAGCGACGCCGCGUGAGGGAUGAAGGUCUUCGGAUCGUAAACCACUGUCAGAAGGGAAGAACGGUCACUGUGCUAAUCAGCAGUGAAUUGACGGUACCUGCAAAGGAAGCACCGGCUAACUCCGUGCCAGCAGCCGCGGUAAUACGGAGGGUGCGAGCGUUAAUCGGAAUUACUGGGCGUAAAGCGCUCGUAGGCGGUAUGUCAAGUCAAGGGUGAAAUCCCCGCGCUUAACGUGGGAACUGCCUUUGAAACUGGCAAACUAGAGUUGGUGAGAGGGUAGUGGAAUUCCAUGUGUAGGAGUGAAAUGCGUAGAUAUGUGGAGGAACAUCAGUGGCGAAGGCGACUAUCUGGCACAAAACUGACGCUGAGGAGCGAAAGCGUGGGGAGCAAACAGGAUUAGAUACCCCUGUAGUC